CAGUCGCCACGGUAAUACGUAGGGUGCGAGCGUUAAUCGGAGUUACUGGGCGUAAAGCGUGCGCAGGCGGUUGUGUAAGACAGGUGUGAAAUCCCCGGGCUUAACCUGGGAACUGCGCUUGUGACUGCACAGCUAGAGUAUGGCAGAGGGGGGUGGAAUUCCACGUGUAGCAGUGAAAUGCGUAGAGAUGUGGAGGAACACCGAUGGCGAAGGCAGCCCCCUGGGCCAAUACUGACGCUGAGGUGCGAAAGCGUGGGGAGCAAACAGGAUUAGAUACCCGAGUAGUCCCUGUCUCUUAUAC
rnacentral:rRNA from 1 species